UACGUAGGGUGCGAGCGUUAAUCGGAAUUACUGGGCGUAAAGAGUGCGUAGGCGGUUCGUUAUGUCUGCUGUGAAAGCCCCGGGCUUAACCCGGGAAUGGCAGUGGAAACUGGCGGGCUUGAGUGUGGCAGAGGGGGGUGGAAUUCCGCGUGUAGCAGUGAAAUGCGUAGAGAUGCGGAGGAACACCGAGGGCGAAGGCAGCCCCCUGGGCUAACACUGACGCUGAGGCACGAAAGCGUGGGGAGCAAACAGG
rnacentral:rRNA from 1 species